rnacentral:rRNA from 1 species
CAUGCAGUCGAGGGGCAGCACGUCUUCGGAUGGUGGCGACCGGCGCACGGNNNNNNNACGCGUAUACNAUCUACCUUUUACAGGGGCAUAGCCCGGGGAAACCCGGAUUAAUAUCCCAUGGUAUCAUUUAGUGGCAUCACUUGAAUGAUUAAAGUUUCGGCGGUAAAAGAUGAGUAUGCGUCCUAUUAGCUAGAUGGUAAGGUAACGGCUUACCAUGGCAGUGAUAGGUAGGGGUCCUGAGAGGGAGAUCCCCCACACUGGUACUGAGACACGGACCAGACUCCUACGGGAGGCAGCAGUGAGGAAUAUUGGGCAAUGGGCGAGAGCCUGAUCCAGCCAUGCCGCGUGCAGGAAGACUGCCCUAUGGGUUGUAAACUGCUUUUAUACGGGAAGAAACACUCCUUCGUGAAGGAGCUUGACGGUACCGUACGAAUAAGGAUCGGCUAACUCCGUGCCAGCAGCCGCGGUAAUACGGAGGAUCCAAGCGUUAUCCGGAAUCAUUGGGUUUAAAGGGUCCGUANGCGGGAUAAUAAGUCAGUGGUGAAAGUCUGCAGCUCANCUGUANAACUGNCAUUGAAACUGUUGUCCNUGAGUANUNAUGAA